AUUGAACGCUGGCGGCAUGCCUUACACAUGCAAGUCGAACGGCAGCACGGGGGCAACCCUGGUGGCGAGUGGCGAACGGGUGAGUAAUACAUCGGAACGUGCCCGGUAGUGGGGGAUAGCUCGGCGAAAGCCGGAUUAAUACCGCAUACGACCUACGGGUGAAAGCGGGGGACCGCAAGGCCUCGCGCUAUUGGAGCGGCCGAUGUCAGAUUAGGUUGUUGGUGGGGUAAAGGCCCACCAAGCCGACGAUCUGUAGCUGGUCUGAGAGGACGACCAGCCACACUGGGACUGAGACACGGCCCAGACUCCUACGGGAGGCAGCAGUGGGGAAUUUUGGACAAUGGGCGCAAGCCUGAUCCAGCCAUGCCGCGUGCGGGAAGAAGGCCU
rnacentral:rRNA from 1 species